rnacentral:lncRNA from 1 species
GUCCAAAUAAUCAAAACUAAAAAUCGAAUCAACCUAGAUGGUCAAAGGCAACACUCUCAUCACACUAGCCCUGAAUCACCCCUGCACACCUGUCGGAAGAAAAACACAGCAUUAGCCAAAUGCUCAGUACGGAUACAAAGAUACAAAAGAUAUACAACUGAAAUAUGAAAUCAACAGAGACAAAAUAUUGCCUCUGACAAAAAAAAUAAAAUCCCCAAAGAUUUGAAUAGAAUAUAUUUGAACCAACAGAAUUAACGAAACAAACAGAAGAGUAAAGAAAAUAAUGAACUGAAAUAACUAACCCAAUUAAUUGAACUGAAUAGAAACUAACAAAACUAAUACAAUAAAAUAAUAGGCUGAAACAAAUGGAUGUGGUUAUUUCAUACCGAUUGAGCUCAGAAAUAUACCUUGCCACACAGACAAGUCAAAAUAAUGCCACACAGGCAAAUCAAAUGAUGCCACACAGACAAUCAAAAUAAUGCCACACAGACAAAUCAAAUUAUGCCACACAUGCAAUCAAAAUAAUGCCACAUAGGCAUUCACACAUUGGACUACGAAUCCAAAAUGUAUGAAAAUCGGAUAGGUGUGUUUGGCACAACAUCACAAAUCCGCGGAACAGAAACUAGGGUUAACCCAUACGCCUUCCACAACAAAACACCAAAUGACCCACUUCCUCCGGAGCCCAAACGGAGACACCGUGGACUAAUCACACUGUCACGGAAAGUGUCAUGUCUCUCGUGCCAAGACGACAUGCCUGUGGUACCCCCACAAGUGGUUAUAGCUCAGGAUACCCUACGGUAUAUUCUAACAAAAAUACCAUAUCACAACACAUUCGACAUAAUACCAACAAAAGGGUUCUAUAUGUACAAAUCAAAUUAUAGUCACAAUGUUUUAAAAAGAAGAUAGCAACAUGUACUACUCUACAAUUAUCAAAAAUAAAUACUAAACAUGAUAACCUAAUUCAAAGAGUACAAAUACGAGUCAUAUGUAUCAACUCCAAAAUGAAACUAUUAUAUAAAUUUCACAAGAAACAAUUAUGUGAAAUAAUAACGAAAUUCGAAACAAGGAACAAGACGAACAAAUCUAAUUUAACAAGAGUAUCAUUGAAAGAGUAUGGAAUCCGUACCUGAAUAUAAUACUGAAAUAGUUCACUGAACACAAAUAUCACACUGCUAGACCUCCUUAAUCCAAUCUAUAUAAUUACCAAAUCACACAAGAUCAUUAAUUAAAUAACUAAUUAAUUGCAAUUUUUUUUAUAUUUCCGUUUUAUUUAUUUAUUUGAAUAAUACAAACAUUUUCCUCCUGUCACCUUUUUCAAAGCUUAAAACCUUUUCAUUAUGCCACUUUUUUCAACGCUUAAAACCUGAUAUGAUGUUGCAAGGCUUAAUAAUCUUUUUAAACAUUCAAUAACUUCUCAAUCGAAUUAAAAUAUGUGUCAAUCCAAUGUAUCACUGUCGUAAAAGAUUGUAUGGUACCAAUUUUGAUUCUGAUGGAUUAGUAUAAAAGUAGUUCAAUUGGGAUACUUUUCACUGUAAUGAAUUCGCACUAUAAGCUACGACAUGCAAUAAUAGAAAAUUUGCUUAGAUCCUUUAAUUUAUAUUCUUUCUACAUCAAUCAAGGUUACACCAAUAUUACUUCAAUUUACAAUCUCUACGUCCGAAUAUUAUAGUAUGUAUAUACUCUUAACAAAAAAAAUAAAUAUCAUUGUUAUAAUAGAAAAAAUAAAUUUAAUAAUUACCUUUUGGAGAUACGAUUAUGUCAAAUAUAGUCUCACAAUGUUCUUCUUCAAAUUUUCUUUUUUUGUUUCACAACCUUAUUCUGCCUCUUCUUCGUUUCUCGUUGCAUCAAAACCCUCUUCUUUAGUCGAUUAUGUCAGUAUAUGUAUUAGGAAGGAAUUUAACCUAAUAUAUUACUCCUAUUCCAAUUUGGUUUUUAAACCCAUCACCUUAAUUUGGGCUCAAAUAGUUUAACAAGCCCAAACUUAAAUACUUAAAAAAAUUAGUUUGACCCAAUUAGUUUAAAUACCCUAACCACAUACUUAUUAUAGUCAACAUAAAUUAAAUACGAUUUGACCAAAACUGCCAUACAUAAGAAAAGUCCAAUUUUACUAAGUUAAUUUAUCCAUCACUUAUUAAUACUUAUUAGCCCAAAUAAAUUAAAUAACAAGUUUAACUCAAAUAAAAGAAAGUCCAAACAAUAUGUUUUCAGAAUAUAAUUUUUUUUUCCCGGGUAUUACAUAAAGUUUCAUGAUAUUUUCAAGACUGUCCAUUUGCGUUCAUGCUCAAGAUUGUUAAUCAAUCUUGUUUGGGUUGGUUAGUCUAUAUAUCCGACAAACAAGCAAACUACUUUUGACAUUAGCCAAGUAAUGCUCAAGUAGUAUUAAUAUUACUGAUUUUUUGUCGAUUCUAGUACUUGUAAAUGUACUUUGAAAAUUUCUUUGUUUGAUGUAUUUUAGAUGCACUUCCAGUCUACUUUUUUGUACUUGACGAAGGACAUACAAUAGGCAGCAAGUUCCACGAGACAAAUACUUACAAUUUGCUAGCAAAAAUAAUGUUUACCCCAUUGCAGUAAAAAAACUGCAAUUACACAACUGAACUCAAAAAAACACUUCAAUCGUCCUAUUAUGUCAAAUUUGUUAAACUUUCAUCAAAUUGACUUACCAAUUUUCAUAUGUGGCUUUGUGAAACAAAAAGAAAAAUGACUUGGUAAUUAUGUGUCCUGCCCAGAUAGGUUUUCCCUCCAAAAAAAGAAGCCACGAUAGCAUGUGACCUUUAUUUUGGGGAUUUUAAGUCUUGGAUCGAUCAAACUGGGAGAUUUGGGAGAUAGAAGACGGCAUCUUCAAUUAGGGUUCUUAGCUGCUACAGGUUGUGUCGCGAUUGAUGAUAAUUGGGGCCUAAAGAUUGAGGCUUCUUCUUGUCAACUUCCCAUCCUAUUUGCAAGGGUGGUUGUUGUUAAUUGAUGAUAAUUGGCCUCCUUGUUUUUUUUUUGUACUUCAGUGGGCUAUUGCACAAAACGUGACAAUUUCGAUGGGGUAAACAUUAUUUUUGCCGCUAUUUGCAUGUGGAAAUCAAAAUAGGAGAUGUAAAAGUCUUGAUACUCAGUUGACACUCUGAGCCUAGAAGCUUGGGUUGCUUUUGAUAAUUUAUUAAAAGGAAGCUAAUAAUAUUACCCAAAAAGUUUUGGUUACACCAAUAGAAUCCACUUGGCUUUUGGGGAUUAGUGCAAACCUGUAGAUAAUGGAUUCGAGGGAUAUAGAACUUCUUUAUGUUUACUUAAUAAGAAUGGUUAGGAAUGUCUUUGCAUGGUUUUUGUAGCUUGUAUGGUGAGCUUUGUUUAUUCAAAAUUUGUGUGAAUAUUGUGCUUUUUAUAAAUUUGCUUUCAAUUGGUAAACUAUAUGCCAUAACAUCUUACUAUUAUCAACAAUAUUUGCAAUUUUGCAUUUAUCUAGUUAUCAGAUCACUGCGAUGUGUUCUUUGCUAUUGCCUUUGUCUUACCACAUGGAAUUCACUUGCCUCUGGAGUAUAACAAAAUAUGCCUAAGUAGUUUAAUAUUUCCAAGUGUAGUAGUUUUCUAUAGAAAUUAUUUAUUCAAUCAAGUACCGAUCGUAAUCAUCUUUAUUGCUCGAGAAAAUUUCAUGGCUUAAAAAACUCCAUUGUAGAAAAUGAUUAUGUAAACGUCGACAACACUAACAAUCUGUGGAACUGGUACUAUUACAAAAUUUUGUUCAUGCUUGGUAAACUUGGUAACUUACCCAAAAAACAACAAAUUUAUAUGAAAAUGUAUAAAUCUUCUUGUAGAGCACCUUUAUUAGCUAAUAUCUUGUGGGUGGAUAUUUGGAACUUACUGAUUUUUUCUUAAAUGUGUUUAUCUUCAUAUCUAUUGUAGUCAUUUUAUUCAAUUACAUAUUAUUAAUUGUGCGCCUAUCUUGUUCAAAACUUUAAAUAUAUUACUCGUGUACUUAUGUUCACUUUCUUUACAUGACUGUCAUUUACAAUUAUUUGAUCCCUAUAUGCUUUGCAAUAUUGUUCAAUUCAAGGCCUUUAGAUGUUUAUAUUUGGGGUUAAUAAUACUUAAGUCCCUCAAAGGUUUACCUUUUUUGUAAUUGAGCUACUGAAGUACCAAUCCUCCUGAUAUGAACCCCCAAGUAUUUUUAAGUUGCGAUACACACUCAAAUCUGAUAUUCCGCCCUAAUUUUUGUCAAAAAGAGUCAUGCCACGUCAUUAUUUUUGGCUAAAAAAAACUACCGGAUUACCAAUUUAAGUACGUCAUACUUAUUUAACAAUACUUGGGGGUCCAAAUUGAGAGAAUUGGUACAUUAGGGGCUCAAUUAUAAAACAGGUGGAACUUAAAGUGAUUGAAGUGCUAUUAGCCCUUAUAUUUGUGUUGAAACUUGGCUCCACAUGCAACUCAGUUUUUGUUUUUGUUUUUUGUUUUUGUUUAUCAUUUUCUAGUUAUAUUUUGAUAUAAAUUUUGAGAAUUAAUAUUUUCAUAAGGCUAUAUUCACAUAAAUAUGAGUUUUAUUUACUAAUGUGGUAUGAAUUUUGUGAAACUAUUAAAUUCUCUUGUGAAAAUAUUAAAUCUCUAAAUUUUAUAUUGUAUAUACUUAGAUUUUUAAGUACUCAUCUAUUUCGUUUUCGCAGAGUUGUGAUUUAUUAUUUAUUAUUUGGUUUUUAGAAGUCAUUUUGUUAUUCCAUUCAGAUUUUAGUCCGUUUAAAGUGGCUAAUAUUUAAUGUGUUAACGUUUGAAUUUGGCUUUAAGAGAAGCAAACUCUACUGUUAUCUUCAAAGGACUUUGUACCAUGUUCCUUGAAUUUAUUUUUGAGGCUUUAAUGAUUGUGAUUCAACUAUAAUCAAGGAUUCAAAACUUGCAAUUUUACAGCACUAACUAUAUUGUGAAGACACUCCCCUUUGAAUUGCUACCGGCAGAUGGAUAGGCAUUGAAUUGAGGUCUGAUUUACAUUUGUAUUAUUGAAUUGAAUUUUUUACUAUCAAUUCAUUGAACUCAAUUUUUUAUAAAAAUAAUUAAAAUCGGCAAGUAAGUUAAAUUUCUAACUCAGAUUUUUUUUUUUGUAACGUGAAAGAGAGAAUGUUAAGUUGGAAAAUUAAUUAAAUUAAAUUAACUAGAUAAAAACAAUGUCAUUCAUGGGAAUUUAAAAAAUUUAAGAACUUUUUUUUUCAUUCUUCUUCCUAGAUGAUAUCACCGUCAUUCUCCAAGCCAUUUCAUUUAAUUAACUCUUUUUCAUCAUCAUACAUGCAUACAUAUAAUCUGAGAGAAAUCCAAAAAAAUUUAAUUCAGAAAAUUUUAAUCUCUCUCCCUCUCUCUCUCUAUAUAUAUAUAUGGGAAAAUAGGUAUGCACAAUCGUGCACUUUUUUUUACACAAUCAACCAAAAACGACGUCGUUUUGGAUGUCUUGUUUUAUAACAAAAAAACACGGUUUCUCUUCCACGUCCCUAAUUGCGGAGAAGGGCUUCAUCCUCCCAAAUCAGCAGGCCAAAGUGAGUAUGAUAGGAGUUCACCUCCUUGGAAAGAUAUUAGAAGGUCUAAUCAUAGAAAUUCAUCUAUUGAAGUUGGGCUGGUGGAGUUAAAAUGGAUUAAUAUUUAUGAAAAAUUAAAAUAAUUUGACUUUAAUUUUAUUGUAAUUUUGUUAAAAAUGUAUUUAUAGCUUCUUAUUAGUUAAAAUGAAUUAAUAUGUAUUUAUAGGAGUCACUGAAUUCUUCUUUUCUAGGUUUUGGAUUUGUAUGAUUUGCAGAAAGGAAAUUAAAAAGAAAUUGAACAAACAAAAAAACUCGUAUUCUCACAUUUGUAUUUCAUCAAAAACCAAAAGUAAAUGUUCCACAUUCUAUCCAUGUCUUGUGGGAGCUAGUAUCAUGGGAAAGGGAUACUUGCAAGAUUGAUUACCAAAACUUAUUUAACUAGUUUAACAAUAGAAAAAAGACAAUGCGGACCUACACAUUAGUUUAAAAUAUGAGAUGAACCUAAUUGUUUUCACCGUGGACUACUUUCCCCAUGUACAAUAGAAAUCCCAAAUACCUAUUUUUUCUUUUUUGAGCUUUCUACAUUGAAGGAGCAUGUAUCUUGGAAGUAACUAACAGAUCAAGGAAGCUAAUAAAAUUUACCAUAUGAUAAAUGGUUAUGUAUGCAAAUUAAUUACCCACAAAGAAAUGGAAAAUUAAGGAUAUGUAAUAUACUUCACUAUUUUUUGCCGACCUUCUCCCUCUCUCUUGAUAUUUUAGGUGAUGAAAUAAUUUUGUUUGAAACUAUAUACUCCUAUGUUAGAUAUUUGAAUGAGUUUGUUUCAAAGUAGACUGUUUUAUAGUUGAGUAGAAGUUUAAAGGUGACAACAUCAAUCAAUGAAUGUAAGUAGCAAAUUAAGCAAUAUGUAAAAAUUAAAAAAAGUAAAGAAGAAUAUCCUCCCUCACAUUUUCAGGCUACCUACCGGAGCAAGUUAGCUUCAUAAAAUUCCUAUAUGUGCAUACAACUGAAUUCUUAAUGGACUAAACUUUUGAUCCUCGCAGGCCAGAUCAGAUAUUGUAUUAAGAUACGUAUGUAGAGGGAUGCUGAUGAAGGCAGAUUCAGAUAAGAAAGUCAACAAGUGACCAACCUUUAUCGAUCUGGCAUGGACACUUGCAACAUAUAUAUGCUAUUGCAUGCAUGCACGGUAACAAGAAGACAUGAACAAAUGCAGAUCAGAAAAAUAGAUUCCAUGAACAAGAAAUUUAAGAAAUUCCCAUUACGACUAAACAUAUAGAUAUUAAAGUGGAUUGUAUGUAUCAAAGUUGAUUUUUUGUGUUGGUGAUUUAUAAAGAUAUCUUACAUAGUAUUUUGAAAUUUGAAUAUAGUUAUGAGAUUAUUGUUCAUGAAAUUGUUAUGCACCUGCUAGACUUUUGUUGAUUUGAUUUUUAUUAUUACUAUUUUGAUAUCUUGGUUCACUAGCUUGAGAUGUUCUAUGUUUUAGGCACAUCCAUGUAUUCUCUAAAUGGUCUUACGGUGAUAGCAAUUAGUAUUGAGAUCACUCUCUUGGAAAACUCGACCUCUUUUGCAUAUGCAUCAUUAAAGGUGUUGCAAAAUGCUCAGAUAAUGCAAAAUUGUUAUCUGAAAAGCUAUUAUGUUGCCUUGAAAUCUCCAAAGUCAUUUGUGAUAUUUUAAUAAUAGAAAUACAUGUUUAAAUUUGAGGCUGGACUAAUAUUUUCUUUCCACUUGUAUUCAAUUGACAUGACUAAUUUUUGAUGAUUUAGCUUUGAGACAGAACCAUGAUAUUCUUUAAAAGAACGAGCUCCUGACUUUGCACACAAUUUUCUUUAUUAAUACAAAAUGUAAUAACUGAUAUAAAUUUUUUCAUUCUGUAGCUUGAUCAGCAGUGCGAGGAUAGGACUGUUCUACGCUAUGUCUAUUAUUACUUGGCCAGAAUUUUAGGCGAUCCUGGAUCACAAGGUUUAACUUCAGGUGGUGGGAUUCCUACACCAAAUUGGGAUGCUUUAGAGUUCUUGCACAUGAUUAAAGACAUUUGUUUUUAGAGUUCCGACACUAGUAAUUGUAAUUGCAUAAAUUUCAUAAAUUUCUAACAUGUAUUUGUGUGGGCUCACAAUAUUGUUUUUCUUGAUUUCCAUCAUGUUUGAUAAAUUGGCAUUAAUUUAAUUUGAGUUAUCUCGGUUGUAAUCAAUCAACUGAUGUUUAAUAACAUGAUUAUGUAUCUAAUGUGUGGUUGAACUCUAUAAGAAAUGUACCCUACACGGAAGAUAUAAAUAAACAAACAAGAGAUAUAACAAGUUUGCUUAUAUACUUUCAUUUAUUUUUUUAAUUAAGUUUGUGCAACAACAUAGAUACUCUUUGGAAAAAACUUAAUAGGAAUACAUAAUAUUCUUCCCAUGAUAAGUUGGUCACAAUUGACUAAUUGAGGUCCUUAAUGGAAAUUACAUUCCACAAAAACAAGAAGCUGUAUAACUUACAACAUUCGAACGUUAUAAAAAUUGCAGAAAAAUGAAAUAUUAAAUUGAGAUAAUAAUCGAACUGAGAUGAUAUAUCUCUAAUUUUUGAACAAAAGAAUACUAAUUGGAGAUGAAUAUUGAAAUGCACUUAACAUACAACAAAUUUUUAACAAGUGGAGUGCAGAUAGUGAAAUAUGAAGUGCAUUUACUAGUCCCAUAAUGGGUUGUAGAUCAAUCCGUAAGCUGUGUGAUGAUAGUAAACAACUUCCUUCCUAAACUUACAAGCAUAAUAGUUAAGCUAAGCCCAUAUAGCUAGAGAAGACAUUAAUCCAACCCCAAGGAAUAGAGUGAAAUAAGAUGCAAUUUGGAGUCUCACAUUGCAACUCAUUCUCUUACUCAAGAAAUCGGUGGCGAUUAGGUCUACUAAAGCCAAGCAAACUAAAAUUCUAACAUAUAUCGAAUCGAAGAUGCCUCAACAACCAGAGCUCUUGGGCUGUUGGGGUUGUAAAAUGAUGAAAUCCCGAUUCCGAUGGCAAUCCCUAUGGGGGUUGUUAUUGCAAAACAGCACGCCAUCAGUGUGGUAUGGAGGGUCCUAAAUUGAGCCUGAGAAAUGUAACCUCCAAGCGCAAACCCUUCAAAGAACUGGUGAAAUGAUAGUGCCCCAAUCAAGGGUUUAAUGGUACAUGGGCUUUGUGAAACUCCUAGCGAAAGUUCGAUAAUGAUUGAGUGUGAUACGAUCCCAAGUUCUAAAACCUGUAAAAGACUAGUAAUAUAAGCGCAUUUUCAGUCAGAGAACCACAUCUAUGAGAAAGAAUAACAUUUUGAAUACCUAAUACCCACAGAACAUGCCACACAAUUAUGUCAUGCCAGUAGAUAGAAAAUAUAAAUUACACUUGAGUGUAGCAUGAAGAAUAACCAGACCGUGCAAAUCAAUUUUGAAAUAUCUCUAGCUCGUGCCAGUUCUAAAACCUAGCAUUACUAAAUUUUCCAUUUGACUUGCCACUAGCUAGCAACCGUUGGAGAAUUCAAUAGAAAUCAAAAAAAUAAAUAGAAGGUCUAUUUUAAUCAGCAAGCCCAAAUCGGGUGAAAAUUUUCUGUUGUUGUUGUGGGAUCUCAAAAGAGUAGGGAAUUUGAGGAUGUUAAGGUCGUGCAUCGAUCCAUUAAUCGGGCUGUUGUUGAAUCAUAUGCUCGGCCAAUUAGACAAAGGCUUGCUACAUCCUUCUUACCCUUCACCUAUUUUGUUUCUUUUUUACAGGUUGCAUCAACAAUCCUGUUAAGUAUACCAACACGAAAAUGUAUGAAAAAGAUCCUAAAUUCAGACAUCAUGCCUACAGAUGUUCAUUCUUCAACAAUCGAACACAAAAAGGAGAAAUCUUAAAUCCCUUUCUGAAGUAAAAAUAUCAAAUCUUCAUGUGAAAAUAUUAAAUCCCUUUCUAAAAAGAGAUUCCAUAGAUAUUCCAAAACAAAUAAUUUACCAAUUAACUACCAAAUUUUAAAGAAGCUAAACCACAUAGAUAUAUAAACAUCAGGAGAGAAAGGAGCAGCCUUACAGUGGGAUAAAGGCACUGCAUCAACGACAAACAACUCCCCAUCUUGCAGGCAUAACCCCCAGUUCCAUUCUAUUUGCCCUGAUGCAUGAUUGAUUUGGGAGAAGAAGAAUGAAGUUGAUUCGAUGGAUGGGAAUAAGAAGGAAAUUGAAGCAGCACCGACUGAAAUUGAAGCAACACUAACAUAGCUAAACCUAGGGUUCUUCGUUUUUUGAUUUGGGAGGAUGAAGCCCUAGGAAAGAAGCCUCUGAUUUGGGAGGAUGAAGCCCUUUUUCGCU